GCGGCAAUAGCUUAGUGGUAGAACCCCGCUUCUCGUGCGGGGAGACCCGGGUUCGAAUCCCGGCUGUUUCC
rfam:Toxocara canis scaffold1734, whole genome shotgun sequence.